rnacentral:rRNA from 1 species
AUUGAACGCUGGCGGCAUGCUUUACACAUGCAAGUCGAACGGCAGCACGGGCUUCGGCCUGGUGGCGAGUGGCGAACGGGUGAGUAAUGCAUCGGAACGUGCCCAUGUUGUGGGGGAUAACUACGCGAAAGCGUGGCUAAUACCGCAUACGCCCUGAGGGGGAAAGCGGGGGAUUCUUCGGAACCUCGCGCAAUUGGAGCGGCCGAUGUCAGAUUAGCUUGUUGGUGAGGUAAAGGCUCACCAAGGCGACGAUCUGUAGCGGGUCUGAGAGGAUGAUCCGCCACACUGGGACUGAGACACGGCCCAGACUCCUACGGGAGGCAGCAGUGGGGAAUUUUGGACAAUGGGGGCAACCCUGAUCCAGCCAUGCCGCGUGAGUGAAGAAGGCCUUCGGUUGUAA